GCUUCAUUCCCCUCAAUUAUAAGCUUCCAUUCAUCUACUCUCUCAUAUAGUUUGCAGAUUGGUGUAAUGAUGAAGCAUUUUGACCAAUUUUAUUUCUCUUUCUCUUCCUCAAAAGGCCCAUAA